rnacentral:rRNA from 1 species
GACUAUGGCCAUAUCACCCUGAAUGUUCCUGAUCUCGUCUGAUCGUGGAAGCUAAGCAGAGUGAGGCUUGGUUAGUACUUAAAUGGGAGAUAUCCUUAGUUU